AACGAACGCUGGCGGCAUGCCUAACACAUGCAAGUCGAACGAGACCUUCGGGUCUAGUGGCGCACGGGUGCGUAACGCGUGGGAACCUGCCCUUAGGUUCGGAAUAACUCCCCGAAAGGGGUGCUAAUACCGGAUAAUGUCUUCGGACCAAAGAUUUAUCGCCUUUGGAUGGGCCCGCGUUGGAUUAGCUAGUUGGUAGGGUAAAAGCCUACCAAGGCGACGAUCCAUAGCUGGUCUGAGAGGAUGAUCAGCCACACUGGGACUGAGACACGGCACAGACUCCUACGGGAGGCAGCAGUGGGGAAUAUUGGACAAUGGGCGAAAGCCUGAUCCAGCAAUGCCGGGUGAGUGAUGAAGGCCUUAGGGUUGUAAAGCUCUUUUACCCGGGAUGAUAAUGACAGUACCGGGAGAAUAAGCUCCGGCUAACUCCGUG
rnacentral:rRNA from 1 species